CAAUGGGGGAACCCUGAUGCAGCAACGCCGCGUGAAGGAUGACGGUUUUCCGAUUGUAAACUUCUUUUCUUAGUGACGAAGACAGUGACGGUAGCUAAGGAAUAAGCAUCGGCUAACUACGUGCCAGCAGCCGCGGUAAUACGUAGGGGGCAAGCGUUAUCCGGAUUUACUGGGUGUAAAGGGAGCGUAGACGGACUGGCAAGUCAGAAGUGAAAGGCGGGGGCUCAACCCCGGGACUGCAUUGGAAACUGUUAGUCUUGAGUGCCGGAGAGGUAAGCGGAAUUCCUAGUGUAGCGGUGAAAUGCGUAGAUAUUAGGAAGAACACCAGUGGCGAAGGCGGCUUACUGGACGGUAACUGACGUUGAGGCUCGAAAGCGUGGGGAGCAAACAGGAUUAGAUACCCUGGUAGUCCAAGGGCGAAUUC
rnacentral:rRNA from 1 species